CCUACGGGAGGCUGCAGUGGGGAAUAUUGCACAAUGGGGGAAACCCUGAUGCAGCGACGCCGCGUGAGUGAAGAAGUAUUUCGGUAUGUAAAGCUCUAUCAGCAGGGAAGAAAAUGACGGUACCUGAUUAAGAAGCCCCGGCUAACUACGUGCCAGCAGCCGCGGUAAUACGUAGGGGGCAAGCGUAAUCCGGAUUUACUGGGUGUAAAGGGAGCGUAGACGGGAGCACAAGUCUGGAGUGAAAUGCCGGGGCUUAACGCCGGAACUGCUUGGGAAACUGUGCAGCUAGAGUGCAGGAGAGGUAAGUGGAAUGCGUGGUGUAGCGGUGAAAUGCGUAGAUAUUAGGAAGAACA
rnacentral:rRNA from 1 species